AGAGGUUUUGAAGAGAGAGGUUUAUGUCUUCCUCAAACUCUAUCAGCUACAUACAAAUUGAUAUAUAAGAAAUACUGAAUCAUAUCAAUUAGGCAAUUUUUAAGUCGAUGCGAGGUAACAAUCUGAACUAAAUCAUUGUUAAUUACCUGAGCCCUGACCUGGUGUUUGAUGGCGCUCUCAUCUAGCUAGUCCAGCUUUGAUUUAUAUCAAAGUACCUAAACUUAUAUGAUUGCCAGUGAAGUGGACCACUAGGGGGUAUUUACUUGGCAA
rnacentral:lncRNA from 1 species